UACGAGGGGGGCGAGCGUUGUUCGGAAUUACUGGGCGUAAAGCGCACGUAGGCGGAUUCUUAAGUCAGGGGUGAAAUCCCGAGGCUCAACCUCGGAACUGCCUUUGAUACUGGGGAUCUUGAGUUCGGGAGAGGUGAGUGGAACUGCGAGUGUAGAGGUGAAAUUCGUAGAUAUUCGCAAGAACACCAGUGGCGAAGGCGGCUCACUGACCCGAUACUGACGCUGAUGCACGAAAGCUAGGGGAGCAAACAGG
rnacentral:misc_RNA from 1 species